GUCACGGGAACGUUAGCGGAAUCAUAUUACUGCCCCACUUCCGCCCAUCGCCCGCCCCGCUGGCCUGCGAGAAGAUAAUCCUGCGUUGACCCGGUCCUUUCGGUUCCGGAUUCCUCAGCCCCCAGCCCCCCGGGGCCGUCGGGAUCGGGUCUGUUCGCAGGGGAGUUAAUCCCAACACUGGGCCAACGAAAGUUGGUCCUUUU
rfam:Bradyrhizobium sp. LTSP885 NODE_27, whole genome shotgun sequence.